UUUUUCAUUCUUUCUUGAACCGAAUUUAACCAAAAAGAAAAAGGAAGAAUAGAAGACUAGGUUCGGCCAUCUUCUAAGCAAAAAAAUCAAGAUCAAGAACUAAAGAAAUCGGAUUUGGAUCGGGGAAAAACGAAAGUUGUCGACUAACUGCCCGAUUCCAUUUUGUACCGUCCGAGAUUCUUUUUGGAAAGUCAAGUUACAAGCUCAGGGAUCGUCUGCGAAGUUCAUCACACUAUCUACUAUUUUGGGUACCUUUAUAAUUUAAAUUCGAAUUAUGGCAUGUAUAGGCUAAAGUGUGUUUUGGGAUGGUAAAUUUUGGUUGUGUAUAAAGCCAUGCGAAAUGGCCAAGUUUUUAUGUUUGAUUUCAGUACGUUUGCUUAUGAUCUGAAUUCAUUUCAGUUUUAAUGUUACAUGCUAUAAAGGAAUAAUAGUUUGGAUAGGUGUUAUAUAUUUCGGAAA